AUGACAGUACCCAGUAGGAGACUCAGAUGAAGUCAUGUUGGUGUGCUUGACAUUAUGAAUGAUGAGGAUCCCUCAGAAACUAAAGGAGAAUCAAUUACCCCUUUCACCUCUUCCCUGAAAAGUAGUUAAAAAAAUUACACACUUGCAUCAGACAGGCUGAAAAGAAAACUUUUAAAAAAUGGUGUUAGUGAAGUUUUUCUUCAACAAUGUGGAAAAGGGCAUCUACAGCCAGACAGGAAUUGGUGGAAUCAUCUGGAAAAUAAAAUGCUGAAAGAUAUUUACUCUCCAAGAUGUGGAAAUGAAGAGCUACAGCCAGACAGGAAUUGGUGGAAACAAGUGGAAAAGAGAAGACUGAUUGACAUCGACUCUCCAGGACGUGGAAAUGAGCAGGUACAGUGAGACAGGAAUUGGUGGAAACAAUUGGAAAAGAGAAGACUGAUAGACUUUGUCCCUCCAGGAUGUGGAAAUGAGCAGCUACAGCAAGACAGGAAUUGGUGGAAACAAGUGAUAAAGACGACACUGACGGAUGUCGACCUUCCCAACAGCAAGAACAUAACACAAUGGAUACCUGUCACUGAUCAGAGACUAUGUUGACCCUCCAAGAUGUGGAAAGGAGCAGCUACAGCCAGAGAGGAAUUGGUGGAAUCAUCUGGAAAAUGUAAUGUUGGACCUUAACCCUCCAAGAUGUGGAAAUGAAGAGCCACAGCCAGACAGGAAUUGGUGGAAACAAGUGGAAAAGAGAAGACUGAUCGACGUUGACCCUCCAGGAUGUGGAAAUGAGCAGCUACAGCCAGACAGGAAUGGUGGAAAUAAGUGGAAAAGACAAGACUGAUGGAUGUUGACCUUUCCAACAGCAAGAA